AGCAGUCGCCGCGGGAAUACGAAGGGGGCUAGCGUUACUCGGAUUUACUGGGCAUAAAGGGCGCGUAGGCGGCCUGGUCAGUGAGGCGUGAAAUUCCCGGGCUUAACCUGGGGACUGCGCUUCAUACUGCUGGACUUGAGGAUGGGAGAGGGUCGUGGAAUUCCCAGUGUAGAGGUGAAAUUCGUAGAUAUUCGGAAGAACACCAGUGGCGAAGGCGGCUCACUGGACUGGUAUUGACGCUGAGGUGCGAAAGCGUGGGGAGCAAACAGGAUUAGAUACCCCCGUAGUCCCUGUCUCUUAUAC
rnacentral:rRNA from 1 species